UAACCUCUCUCUCUCUCUCUCUCUCUCUCUCUCUCAUGUCUGUGUAUGACAACGAGGAAUUGAAUCGGGCCAUUAACAGUUACGACCGUCCACGCACGGAUCUCCGAGCCCAUAGAAUAAUCCUUAAACGGCAUCGUAACAGUGCUCGUCACACCUGUGCUCGGUAGUCGGUAGUGGGACGCUUUGGAGCGGUGACCUUCGACAUGAGGUGCGUGGACGGGCGCGCUGGGCGCCCUUCCCUCCUCGGGCUCCUCUGAAAUCCACGAUGUUGUUGCUGUCUGCAACUGGGUCUCUCUCAACUUGUCCGCUAAUCGCAUUUGGUAGCAGGUCCUGCAAAUGAUGCUGAUGGUGGGGACGUGGAUCACUGGAUUUAUACAAUUAUUGCAUUGGAUGUCUGAGCAUAAAAUCAACAUGACAGUAACUCGAUGAACUAAGGUUUGGUGUUUUGGUUCAAAAUUCUGCAGCUACAACCAAAAGAAGGCCCGGAUAUUUAACGAGUUAAAAGAGUCUUUGAAAAAGCUUGUUUCAGGACGGCAUUUGAAGUGCAACCCACAACAUCAGAGAUUCAGAAGGCACCCAACCCAUUAUACCAACAAAAUCUUUGAAUCUUUACUUACAUAUUAUCCACCGCCAUUACAUAAUUUCAAACAGAGACCAGGCUGGUGGAAAUUUAACACCACCUUUCUAGUGGUUUCCAGGUGGGUGUCCAUAAAGUCUGGGUAUAACCUUGGGAGGCAAAAAAAAAAAUCCCGAAUCAGAUGCUGACAAAGUAAACAAAUUGCUAGUAAUCUCAUGCGACCCAUCGCUCACUUGAUAUUUGAUCAUUACCUUGAAAACAACCAAUCCUUAAUCCUUCACCCACCCAGUCUUGCAGUUGGUUCCAACAUGAUGCUGGUUUCUCCAUUCUCAUCCAAUAGAUUGCCCGUUCAAAAGGGGCCGCUCUCCAUCUGCUUUGAAGUAAACAGGAUAAUAUUACACGGAGUUAUGCUAGCAAAUUGGGCAAAGAGAGAACAAAGAAGAAACAUGGAGCUAUAAUACAAUAUGUAUUCUGUUCUAGACAGUCAAACAUGUAAGGCUGUUCUAAAACUCAACACUACCACGUUGAUACCUCAAUACUAUUGCACAAUCAUUUAGUUCA